rnacentral:lncRNA from 10 species
AGAAAACCCAAUUCCUCCACUUUCCAGAUGGGAAACUGAGGCCCUCUGGGCAGACUGGGCCAUGCGCAGGACAGCAUGAAGGAAAAGCAGCAAGGUUAGAGGCAGCCAGAAAGACUAACCGGGUCAGACACAGCAGCAGGUCAGCCCGGGGCGGCCGGGGGCCUUUCCAGAAGCUGCUUGGCGAGGUGGUGUGGAGGUGACACU